rnacentral:rRNA from 1 species
UCGGGAAUUUUGGGCAAUGGGCGAAAGCCUGACCCAGCAACGCCGCGUGAAGGAUGAAGUUUUUCGGAAUGUAAACUUCGUAAAAAUAGGAAGAAUAAAUGACGGUACUAUUUGUAAGGUCCGGCUAACUACGUGCCAGCAGCCGCGGUAAUACGUAGGGACCAAGCGUUGUUCGGAUUUACUGGGCGUAAAGGGCGCGUAGGCGGCAAUUCAAGUCAUCUGUGAAAUCUCCGGGCUUAACUCGGAACGGUCAGAUGAUACUGCUUUGCUAGAGUGCAGAAGGGGCAAUCGGAAUUCUUGGUGUAGCGGUGAAAUGCGUAGAUAUCAAGAGGAACACCUGAGGUGAAGACGGGUUGCUGGGCUGACACUGACGCUGAGGCGCGAAAGCUAGGGUAGCAAACGGGGAUUAGAUACCCCAGUAGUCCCUGAGCGGGCUGGCAAGGCGCAU